GCCUUGGUGCUUCCCACAGAGGGAACUGUGACAUAUUACUGGGCCACACCACCAGCUUAUGUGACUCUCUUGCCAGUGUUCUGCCCAUGUGGGCCAUUGUGACAUUUGGCUGGGUCCAACACUUAGCACCUGAGUGAUUUGACUCUCCUGCCUUGGCCCAGUCCACAGAUAGCAUUAUGACAUGUUGCUGAACCCGGCACCUAGGAGAUGUGACUUUAUUUUCCUGCCUUGGUACUGCCCACAGUUGUGUCCACAGGAGCGAUUUUGAUGUAUUGCUGGGCCGAACACAAAGGUGAUGUGGGUUUGUGACUCUCAGGCCAAGAUUCAGCAAACCUGUGAGGCUGUGACUCUAUGAAGAAUAUACAGUGGACUUGAGGGACUGUGGCUCCCAAGCAUGGAUCCAGUCACCUGUUGAAAUUGUGACUCAUGUACUUGGACCUUACAUACAGGAGGUAUCGACUCUAAUACCUAGGACCGGGACAUGUUCUACCAACAGGGAAGAUUGUGACAUAUCACUGGGCCUAACACCAAGGUGUAGUUACACUUUUGCCUUGGCCCAGAACUCUGAAGUUCACUGUGACGUACUGCUGGGCCCAGCACCAAGGAGAGGCAAAUCCCAGCACUUUGGGAGACCAAGGCGGGACAUAACUCUGGGCCCAGCACCUAGGUGAUGUGACUCCCUUUUCUGCCUGGAUGGUGCUCACAGAAGAGAAAGUGACUUAUUUCUGGGCCCAGCAGAGAGGUGAUGUGAUUCUUCUGCCUGGUCCCUGCCCACAAAACUCAUUGUGACUUAACUCUGGGCCCAUCACCUAAAUGACGUGACUCUCCUCUUCUUCCUGUGUCCUGUACAUGUUCUACCAACAGGGAACAUUGUAACAUAUCUCUGGGUCCAUCACCUGGAUAAUGUGACUCUUCUUGGGACCUAUUCACAGUGAAAAUUGUGACACAUCUCUUGGGUUCUGCCCACAAGGGAGAUUUUGACUUAUUGCUGUCCUCAAAAUGAAGGUGAUGUGACACUUUUGCCUUGGACCCACCCUUGAAGACAUUGUGACAUAUUUCUUAGCUCAGCAUCAAAACGAUGUGUCUUCUUAGUAGACUCUGCCAACAUGGGGCAUUGUGACAUAUCUUUGGGCCCAUCAGCUAUUGAUGUAACUCUCUUCUCUUACAUGGACUUUGCUCACAGAAGAGACUAUGAAAUAUCUCUGGGCCCAGCAAAUAGGUGAUGUGACUCUUCUCUACUGCUUGGGCUCUGCUCAUGAGAAAAUUGUGAUGGAUUGCUGAACCCAGCACCUAGGUAAUGUAACUCUCUUCUCUUGCCUGGGCCCGGCAUAAAUUGUGUAUUGUGACAUGGGGCUCGAUCACAAACCUAGGUAAUGCUACUCUCUUGCAUUGGCUCUGCCCACCAGGGUAUUAUGACACAACUUUUCAUUCAUCGCCUAGGCGAUGUGACCCCCCGCUUCUGCUUGAAUCUUGCCAAAAGAGGAAAUGAUAACAUAUCACUAUACUCAGCACCUAGGUGCCAUGACUUGCCUUUUUCCCCAGGCAAUGCAUAUAUUGGGAAUUAUGACAUAUCACUGGACCCAACAUGUAGGGAAUAAAAGACUCCUGCCUGUGUUCUGCUGACCUAGAA
rnacentral:lncRNA from 1 species